rnacentral:rRNA from 1 species
GAUGAACGCUGGCGGCGUGCCUAAUACAUGCAAGUCGAGCGAACAGACGAGGAGCUUGCUCCGCUGACGUUAGCCGCAGACGUGUGAGUAACACGUGUAUACCCUACCUAUAAGACUGGUAUAACUUCGGGACACCGGAGCUAAUAGCGGAUAAUCUAUUGAACCGCAUGGUUCGAUAGUGAGAGUCGGUUGUUCUGGCACUUAUAGCUGGAUCCCCGCCGCAUUAGCUGGUUGGGAAGGUAACCGCCUACGAAGGCAACGAGGCGUAGCCGAAGUGAGAGGGUGGUAGGCCGCCUUGGAACUGAGCCGCGGUCCAGACUACUACGAGAGGCAGCAGUAGGCAAUCGGACGCAAUGGGCGAAAGCAUGACGGAGCAGCGCCGCGCGAGUGAUGACGGUGUCCGGAUCGGAAAACUCUGUUAUUAGGGAAGAACCAAUGUGUAAGUAACUAUGCACGUCUUGACGGUACCUAAUAAGAAAGCAACGGCUAACUACGUG